UUGAUCAAUGACAUGCAAUGCCAUAAUAUAUUUUCAUAUGUUUAUUCUUUUUGUACAUGCACGAGCACGACAGGUGCGUAAAAGAUAAUUUUACAGAAAAUCGUGAUAUUUGUGCGUUCCUGUAAUUAGUGAACGAGGCCCGAAUAUUCGUUUCUGCUCUAGACUGAAGGUCCGAAAUUUUGGUGGAGGGCUCCAGUUUAUUAGAUCGACUCCAGUAUGCAACUGGUACUUAAUUUAUCGACCCCAUAAAGAUGACAGUCAAAGUCGACCUCGGCGGAAUUUGAACUCAGAACAUAAAGACAGAAGAAAUACCGCUAAGCAUUUCACCCGGCGUGCUGUCUGUUCUACCAGUUCACCGCCUUAAACGAAGAACCUAUAUUACAAAUACAAUGUGUUGGAUCUUAAUUUAACGACAUCUAUUUAUGUAUUUUUUAAGGAAAAACUCGAUGAAUUUCUGACCAUGCAACAUCGCUGGAGAGCAUAUAUAUUCGCGUUGUAAUUGAGAAAAUGUCAGAUGACAUGGAGAAAUGGAAGCCAGUUUCAAAUUUGGGGACAAGGCAAGCUAUUUCGGUUAGUGUGGUAAAAGCUCAUCACAUUCAACCCGGCACUUCAUUUCUGCAUAUUUCAUCGAAUCUGGAGGAAAGGUUCCAUCAACAUCGAUGACGCAACCAACCCUUCGCAAUGGCAAAUGCACAACUAACAUUCGAGGAAAAGAGAUUAUAUUAAAGUUCUACUGGAAGCACGAAAAUGUUACACACAGUUUCAGAAAACACCACCAACCCGACGCAUUAUUACUCGCAUCAGAGAUAAAUUGGAAGCAUAUGGAACUGUUCAGAACGCUAGUAAGCAACGUUCUGGAAGACCACGAACAUCCGCCAGCCCCAGUAGACACAUCUAAUUAAUGGAAAUCCUUUCCCGAUCUCCAAAGUAAUCCGUAGGACAAUUGAGUCGUGAGAUAGGAAUCCCCAAAUCAGGUGUUCGUCGGAUGUUGAAACGAGUUCAUUGGAAAAGUUACGUUCCAGCAUUAAUUCGAACGCUGUCACCAGAGUCUCCCUGAAAUAAAUGUUGAAUUAUUGUGAAAACUUAGUUUCGAAAUAAGAUAAUACAUUUUCAGACAUAUAAGCAUGUGCAGAAUACUCUGAUCGAUUAAAAAUCUUACAUAUAAGAAACAAUGGUUUGUGAGAGAUUCUUAAAAAAUAUAGCAGCCAUGACUCUUCGUUACAUUUAUGCUAUUGUGAUAAGUUCUAAACCACAUUCUUUACUAUUCAAUUGAAAGAAAAUACAAAUUUAGCUAAAUAAAAUAUCUUUCUUUCCUUGCACGAUUA